rnacentral:rRNA from 1 species
GGGCCCGCACAAGCGGUGGAGCAUGUGGUUUAAUUCGAUGAUACGCGAGGAACCUUACCAGGGCUUAAAUGUUAGGUGACAGAUCUAGAAAUAGAUUUUUCUUCGGACACUUAACAAGGUGCUGCAUGGUUGUCGUCAGCUCGUGCCGUGAGGUGUCAGGUUAAGUCCUAUAACGAGCGCAACCCCUGUUGUUAGUUGCCAGCGAGUAAUGUCGGGAACUCUAGCAAGACUGCCAGUGCAAACUGUGAGGAAGGUGGGGAUGACGUCAAAUCAUCACGGCCCUUACGUCCUGGGCUACACACGUGCUACAAUGGUAGGUACAGAGAGCAGCCAAUGCGCGAGCAUGAGCGAAUCUACAAAACCUAUCUCAGUUCAGAUCGUAGGCUGCAACUCGCCUACGUGAAGGAGGAAUCGCUAGUAA